rnacentral:rRNA from 1 species
UACAGAGGUCUCAAGCGUUGUUCGGAUUUAUUGGGCGUAAAGAGCGUGUAGGCGGCCAAGCAGGUCCGCUGUGAAAACUCGAGGCUCAACCUCGAGACGUCGGUGGAAACCGUUUGGCUAGAGUCCGGAAGAGGAGAGUGGAAUUCCCGGUGUAGCGGUGAAAUGCGCAGAUAUCGGGAAGAACACCCGUGGCGAAGGCGGCUCUCUGGGACGGUACUGACGCUGAGGCGCGAAAGCGUAGGGAGCAAACAGG